rnacentral:rRNA from 1 species
CCUACGGGAGGCAGCAGUAAGGAAUAUUGGACAAUGGGCGCAAGCCUGAUCCAGCCAUACCGCGUGGGUGAAGAAGGCCUUCGGGUUGUAAAGCCCUUUUGUUGGGAAAGAAAUCCAGCUGGCUAAUACCCGGUUGGGAUGACGGUACCCAAAGAAUAAGCACCGGCUAACUUCGUGCCAGCAGCCGCGGUAAU